CACGUAGGGGACGAGCGUUGUCCGGAUUCAUUGGGCGUAAAGAGCUCGUAGGCGGCUGUUCAAGUCGAACGUGAAAACUCGGAGCUCAACUCCGAGCCUGCGUUCGAUACUGGACGGCUAGAGUCUGGUAGGGGGAUCUGGAAGUUCCGGUGUGAGCGGUGGAAUGCGCAGCUAUACAGGAGGGAACACCGGUGGCGAAGGCGGGAUCCUGGGCCAGUACUGGACGCUGAGGAGCGAAAGCGUGGGGAGCAAACAGG
rnacentral:rRNA from 1 species